GGUGAAGCCAGCCUGACUUGUGUCCUUCCCUUCAUGGUGGUAAUUAUCCAGUUGAUAUUUAUCUUGUUCCAGUCACCUUUAGAAAGCUGUUUGCUCUCAAAUCUCCAGGCAGCCUCUAUUGAUUGAUCUGAGUUGGCAGAUGAGUUGGCAGGUCUCUACUUUGAGUUAGAUGACUUCAGAAAUGAUCACACAUUUCAUGUCAAAUUUCCAGGCCUCAAAUUCCUGUUCCCAGUGAUAUGAGUACCCACAGAUAAUUCACUGGUUUUGGAAAUCACUAGUGGGUAAAAAAGACCAAUUUGCAACUAGGCUCUCAUGCUCUGUUGAAAACUAUGUCACAAUAUCACAAUACUAGAUGCUGGGCUCAAGACAGCAAACAGAAAGCAGCAAGGGCAGUGACUGGAAGCUGGGAGAGAGGGUC
ensembl:lncRNA SLC8A1-AS1 SLC8A1 antisense RNA 1